rnacentral:RNase_P_RNA from 1 species
UGGGUCGGCUGGACGGUCGCGUGGCGGGAGACCGCACCGAGGAACGUCCGGGCUCCAUAGGGCAGGGCGGUGGGUAACACCCACCCGGAGUGAUCCGCGAGACAGUGCCACAGAGAGCAGACCGCCCCGGCUUCGGCCGGAGUAAGGGUGAAAGGGUGGUGUAAGAGACCACCGGGGUCGCGGUGACGCGGCUUGCAGGGUAAACCUCGCCCGGAGCAAGGCCAGACAGGGGAUGCCGACGCGGCCCGCCGAGUCCCCGGGUAGGCCGCUGGAGCGUCACGGCAACGUGACGCCGAGAGAGAUGACCGUCGAUGGGGCGAAAGCCCCGGGACAGAACCCGGCGUACAGGCCGGCCCAUUCG